rnacentral:rRNA from 1 species
AUUGAACGCUGGCGGCAGGCCUAACACAUGCAAGUCGAACGGUAACAGGAAGAAGCUUGCUUCUUUGCUGACGAGUGGCGGACGGGUGAGUAAUGUCUGGGAAACUGCCUGAUGGAGGGGGAUAACUACUGGAAACGGUAGCUAAUACCGCAUAACGUCGCAAGACCAAAGAGGGGGACCUUCGGGCCUCUUGCCAUCGGAUGUGCCCAGAUGGGAUUAGCUAGUAGGUGGGGUAACGGCUCACCUAGGCGAUGAUCCCUAGCUGGUCUGAGAGGAUGACCAGCCACACUGGAACUGAGACACGGUCCAGACUCCUACGGGAGGCAGCAGUGGGGAAUAUUGCACAAUGGGCGCAAGCCUGAUGCAGCCAUGCCGCGUGUAUGAAGAAGGCCUUCGGGUUGUAAAGUACUUUCAGCGGGGAGGAAGGGAGUAAAGUUAAUACCUUUGCUCAUUGACGUUACCCGCAGAAGAAGCACCGGCUAACUCCGUG